rnacentral:tRNA from 1 species
AGGGGCGUAGCCAAGCGGUAAGGCAGCGGGUUUUGAUCCCGUCAUGCGUUGGUUCGAAUCCAGCCGCCCCUGCCA